CACCUGGGUGCAGGCGGGCUGAGUCCAAAAAGAGAGUCAGCGAAGGGAGAUAAGGGUGGGGCCGUUUUAUAGGAUUUGGGUAGGUAAAGGAAAAUUACAGUCAAAGGGGGUUUGUUCUUUGGUGGGUAGGAGUGGGGGUCGCAAGGUGCUCAGUGGGCAGGAGUGGGGGUCGCAAGGUGCUCAGUGGGGGUGCUUUUUGAGCCAGGAUGAGCCAGGAAAAGGACUUUCACAAGGUAAUGUCAUCAGUUAAGGCAAGGACCGGCCAUUUACACUUCUUUUGUGGUGGAAUGUCAUCAGUUAAGGUGGGACAGGGCAUAUUCACUUCUUUUGUGAUUCUUCAGUUACUUCAGGCCAUCUGGGCCUAUAUGUGCAAGUCACAGGGGAUGCGAUGGCUUGGCUUGGGCUCAGAGGCCUGACAUUCCUGCCUUCUUAUAUUAAUAAGAAAAAUAAAACAAAAUAGUGUUGAAGUGUUGGGGCGGCAAAAAUUUUUGGGGGUGAUAUGGAGAGAGAAUGGGCGAUGUUUCUCAGGGCUGCUUCAAGCGGGAUUAGGGUCGGCGUGGGAACCUUCCACUGUGAGAGUUACCCGAAGCUCGGCGUCCGUGAUGGUCAGGGGGCUUCCGAGGCGAUCGGGCAGUGUCAGUCUUCAGCCGCUAAGCCGAGAAGAUCUGGGAAGGAGUCAGUCAGAGAGCCUUGGGCCAGAGUUCCAGGGCCUCUGGGAGUGGCUGCCAGUUGCUGGAGAGCCAGUGGCAUUGCAUCUUAUGCAGAGGACAGGUCCUUAAGGGCACAAUCGCUUAAGAGUCAAAAUGGCCUUGAAAAUUCCUUGGGAAGCCGUCAUGUUGGAGCCAACCACUAUUUCUCAAUAAAUUCAGCACAGCCAGUUUUUCCUCCUGCGUUGGGACGGAUCGCUGUUUCUCCUGUCAAGCUCCAGAUACAGUAAAGUCUUGUGUUUAAGGGCCACACAGUGGAGUGGGACACUCACAGGCAGAGGGAGGAACCAGGUGCUCCUACUCAGAGACACGUGGGACCCAAUGGGAGGGUUUGGCUUGGAGCAGACACCUUCAAAGUGAGUGGUGUGGGGAUUUCCCCAUCAUAUAAUGUCCCUUUGGGGUGUGAGGGGCAAAUGUGUUUAGUUAAGUGGAUCUUAACUCAGUUAAAUUAAAUUCAUGUAUGAUGUGAGACCA